GAAGGGGGUGUGUCCUUCUGUGAUGAGACUCAACAGGUAACAGGCUGAGCUGUCACAAUGCCCAAAGCUGAGGCUGACGCCAGAGCAGAAGACCCCAAGGCAGCUGAAGAGGACCUACCUGGCACUGGAGCGAGGUGUAACUGACAAUGCCAGGAGCUUGGCCCACGCCAGGAGAGCAGAGCACCAUCCACUCCAAACGGAGUGGCUGGGACAGCUGGGUGACUACAUGCUGGGCCAUCCCAUAGGCUGAGAGAGAGGAGGGGCAGAGCAGAGGACUAGAAGAAGACAAGUAAAACCUCAGGCUAGUCAUUCCAGAGGUGGUGGCUUGAGAGAAAGAGAGAAGAAAAAGAGAGAGAGGGAGAAAACUUCACGAGCAAUGCUGUGUCCUUUCUGGUGUAUUACAUCAUGAGGCACACGAUGUCUGAUCGUUC
rnacentral:lncRNA from 1 species